UCGGGAAUUUUGGGCAAUGGGGGAAACCCUGACCCAGCAACGCCGCGUGAAGGAUGAAGUAUUUCGGUAUGUAAACUUCGAAAGAAUAGGAAGAAUAAAUGACGGUACUAUUUAUAAGGUCCGGCUAACUACGUGCCAGCAGCCGCGGUAAUACGUAGGGACCAAGCGUUGUUCGGAUUUACUGGGCGUAAAGGGCGCGUAGGCGGCAUGACAAGUCACUUGUGAAAUCUCUGGGCUUAACCCAGAACGGCCAAGUGAUACUGUCGCGCUAGAGUGCAGAAGGGGCAAUCGGAAUUCUUGGUGUAGCGGUGAAAUGCGUAGAUAUCAAGAGGAACACCUGAGGUGAAGACGGGUUGCUGGGCUGACACUGACGCUGAGGCACGAAAGCGUGGGGAGCAAACAGGAUUAGAUACCCGCGUAGUCCCUGAGCGGGCUGGCAAGGCGCAU
rnacentral:rRNA from 1 species